AAUACGAACUAAUAUAUAUAUAUAUAGACACACUACUGGAAAUUACCCCUAUGACAACGAACUUUUUGGCGACGCUUAACAAAGCUUUGCAAUAGGUGGUCUAUUGCAACGCUUUCAAGCGUUGCCAAAAAUAAUUGUUCUAUUAGCUACAAUUUAACCCUAUAACCGUCGCUUUUGACAUUAAGCAUUGAAUAGGUAAAUGAAAUAAGCUAUUGCAACGCUUAUAAUUUUAUUCCCUCCAUUUCACUGCCAAUUUUAUUCAGUACGCCAAAAAUAAAGUCUUUUUAUAAUACUAAAACAUUUCAACGCUGCCUCUACGGACGAUCCAGUACUACUUAGUGCUUAAACAUUUCAACACAAACACGGCUGCAAAAGAGCGAUUUCAACAUUGGUGCCGGUGGUGAGCUGCGAUUGCGAUUAGGGGAAAAGAAGAAGAGGGGAAACAACAUAGUUCUGAGGUAAUUUGCGAUUAGGGCUAAUUUGGUUUCAGGUAAGUUUGUUCGAUUGAUUUUUGCGAUUAGUGAGAAUUUACGUUUUUUGGACCUUCAUUUUUCCUGCUUCAUUUGUGUGGUUUUCACUAAUUGUGUAUAUCAUUGUUCUUUUUAGAUUACUUGCUUGUGGGUGUUCGGUAUUUCAGCUAUAUUUGCUGUUAAUUUCUCUAAUUUUAAUUGUGGGUAUUCUGUAUUUCCUUGAAUUUGGUGUGCUUUUUGGGUUUCUAAAUUGUGGGUAUCUUUAAAGUUUCAAUUUUUGCUUAAUUUGAGCUCUAGGGAGUUUUCUUUAAAGAGGGUCAUCAAACUGUUGGGAGCUUUUAUCUCAAUGGCUAAAAUGGUUUCUGAUUCUUCUGAAGUUGUUAGUGUUGUGUCUAAGGAUUUAAAAGAGUUUUUGCAGUCUGAUUCUGAUGAACUUCCUAGGAGUUUGAAGCAGUUACUUAAAAUUGCAAGAUGUGAGGAAUUUACCAAUUUUGUGGUUAGAGUUUCGCUGGCUCUAAUAGUUGGGAUAUUAAGGGGGUAUGAGAGUGAAAAUAAGAGUGAGAUUGAGGAGGUAGGUGGUUCAAGUUUUGUUGAUAUGGAUAGAAUGAUGAGUACUGUUGGGACAAGAUUUGUUUUUGUCGUUAUUGGUAGCUUUGCAAGGAACUUGGUUUUAGUUUUCUAUUCGAAUAGCGGGUCAGAUAAGGGGUUGAAUGGGAAUUGCCAGUUUGUGGUCCCGUAUAUGAAGAAGAAUUCAUCAGAAGUGCCAAGAUGGAUUGAUGGGGUUUGUACUGAUAGAUGUAAACUAACGAUUGCUGAUUGUAUCCAGACAUUCCUGAGUUAGAUACUAACCAGCUUAUUUAGGGAAUAGGAUAGGAUUUGUAACGUUACAUUUGGAAGUCAAGUAUGUGGUCAUCCAUUUCAUUCUAAUUUUGUCUUUUGCUUGUAGCUUAAUUGGUGGUGUUUGGCCACUUUGUGCACCUAAAUUAUUUCAUCUGGUAUAUACAACCCUUAUUAAUAUAAGUGACAGGUAACUCUGCCUAUAAGACUUCGACAGAUAGGAUUAAAUCACUUAGCUUGCCUCGAUUGAGAUUUGAAUCGUGGUCUUAUUUGAUUAUAGUUUUUUUGGAUUGAUUGCUUGUAGGUUUUAGUUACGCUACUUAGGUUCAUUGAUAUUUUUAUUGUUGGUUCACAUUUUUGAAUAGUCUAAGCAACCUAGAUAAAAGAUAUCAUUAAGUUUGCAAUCUUAAAAACCUAAUAAUUUUGUUCUUUUAUUUGACGAAGUGUUCUUAGUAUGGAUUGCUUAUGUCUGUUAAACUUGUUAAAAUUUUUGGGUGAUCUGAUGGUACUUUAGGGUCUGUUUGUUUUGACAGUGUUGGUUUUGGAUGAGUUGUAUCUGAAUAGAGCUGACAGUGUUGGUUAAAAACAAUUAUCGUUUGUUAGUUUUUACUUCUGAUUCUUCCAAGAAAACUGCGAAAGGAAUUGCUUAUCAGUGGAGAUACAUGGUUGAAAAUAAGCCUGGAGACCCUGGAGUGGCACCUGGAUCAUGCUCUAGUCGUAAGGAAUUGAAACCACUUAAUUCCAGAAGUGCCUCUCUAUUUCUAAUGAAUUACUUUCCCACAGUUGCUGUACAAAAUGGAGCCUGCAAAGAACAUUCAACUCAACUUAUUGAUACCGCUGCUGCCGGUUACAAAGCAGCAGGCAACAUGAUGCCCAAUUAUGUGGAAGUAAACUUUUACAUGGUAUUGAAUUAGUUACUUCUUACCGAUGUUGGUGCUAUUACUAAAGAUUUUCAAUGUUGACUGAUGAAAAAAUAUCCUACAGAGAAGUGAUAGAGGAGGAGUUUUUUGAUGUUUUAGAUCAAAUGAACGGUCAGACACUGUGUGGUUGCCCUACGGUUACACCAUGCCAGGUUUUCUAUCUUUUUUCACAUACUGGAUAUUGGAUAAUAGUUUUAAAAAUUGUAAACAAGGGUCCAUAUGACAAAGGUUCACUCUAUGAAGAGAGGUAGGUGGAAGAACCAUAAUUGAGCAUCUCUUUAUUGGCUGAUUAUGAGCUUGAAUUAUGUUGCCUGUAAGUGAUGCAAUUUUUUCAAUACAAACAGUAGGAGAAAGUAAUGUACUUCUCUGUCCAGAAAAAAUUGAGGUCCACAGAUUUAGAACAGUUGAAUAUUAUGUUGGUAUAUAAUCCUCUAUAUUAUGCUUAAAGAGUAAAUGUUGGUAACAUUUCAUUUGUAGGUUCUUGAUUCCUAUUAGUUUGUGCUUUCAGUUGCUGCCUAUUUAUAAUUUUAUAUGAUCAAAGUCUUAGGCUUUUAGGUAUAUUUUAGCAGUAUGAUAUGUUUCCCUUUCCCUAUGAAAUCUAUAACCUUAACCUUAUAACCUUAACGGCCACCGUUUAACCUUAUAACCUUAACGGCCACCAUUUAACCUUAUAACCUUAACGGCCACCGUUUAACCUUAUAAUCUUAUAACCUUAACUGCCACCGUUUAAACUUAUAACCUUAAUGACCACCGUUUAACCUUAUAAGGUUAACGACCACCAUUUAACUUUAUAACCUUACGGCCACCGUUUAAACUUAUAAACUUAUAAGGCGAACGGCCACCGUUUAACCUUAUAACCUUAAUGGCCACUGUUUAACCUUAUAACCUCAUAAGGUUAACAACCACCAUUUAACCUUAUAACCUUAACAGCCACCGUUUAACCUUAUAACCUUAACUGCCACCGUUUAACCCUAUAACCUUAACGGCCACCGUUUAACCUUAUAACCUUAUAACCUUCUCUUGAGUAGUACUAGAGAGUUUAACGGCCACCGUUUAAACCUUCACUGCCUCGAUCUUUUUAUUAAGAACUUAUUCAUAAAUAUUGACUAGCAGGAUACUUCCAAGACUAACAAAGAAAAUAGGAAAAAGUUUAAGUAUCCACACACUAUGGGCAAAACAAAUUUUCCUUUAAUCCACGAGGUUUGGUGUUUUCUCAUAUUGUUACUGUGAACUUGUUGAGUUUACUUGAUAUUAUUUUAAUGCUGACUUGCAUGUAACUAGGAAAAAGAGAUGGAAAAUUUUGGUACUUUGUCGAAUAAGGCGGUGUUACCAAGACAGUUUUGAAAUAGAAAGCAAAUGUUCUGGAUUCUUUUCAAAAGCUUAUGAACUGCUGGAGAAGAGAUUGGAUGAUCUAUAAGAGAGGAUGCAACAAAGAAUGAAUGCUCAAAGAGAUGUCAUUGAGCGAGAAGUUACAAUGAGCAUCAUUGUACAACUUCAGCGUCUAAAUCCAGAAUUAAUACUUGAUCCUAAUAUGCUAGGAUUCAAUGUUCAUUCAUCAGGAGAAGCGCUUUCUAAUCAACAAGGAAACCAUCCCUCUGUUGGUAGUAACAAUUAAGGUGCCCAAAAUGAAGAAAGAGAUGAAGAAAAUGAUGGAGACAUUGACCAUACUUGAGAAGAUUUUUGGGUUGUGGAUAAAUGCACUAAUAUCUAUAGAUUUGUGUUGAAUUUUCUUAAACUUAUCGCGACUUGAACUUGCUAGUAUGUAAAAACUUAACUAAUCAUUUGGAUUACAUUUUAAUUUUGGGUUUAAAUUACUAGCUUGUUGCAUAUUUUGAAUUAUGAGAUUAUUAAUUAAUGAUUUUGUUGUGUGA